rnacentral:lncRNA from 1 species
UUGAAUAGUGAUGCCUAUCUGUCUGUGUCAGGACGUAGUAAGGAAGCCCAUGUCUAGUCUGGUACCUUUAAACCAGGACGUCUCCUACUUUUCAAAAUGACUCAAAAGUUGAGCUAGCCUUAUUUUAAAAACUAAAAGUUCAAAAUCAGUGGUGACAUGAGGACUUAUUUAUUUAAAGUGCUUAAGCUUUGGUUUUAGAGUUUCUAAGAGAUCUAGUGGAAUUUGCUAUUAUGAAAAGCAUUACCCAUGCUAUUAUGAAAAGCAUGAAAAGAUUAAGAAAUCUGGCUAAAGGUCAGGUGCCCAGCUUCGAGGAAAAGUUGGGCUUUUAGGGAUCAGGAAGCAUUAAAGGCACACAAACUUUACAUUUUGGGAGUCAUUUUGUUGAGUAGGUGAAGUGAGGGAUUUGGUCUUGAUAUUUGGCUGCCCCAUCUCUAUGUGGGAGCUCAAAGUUAAAAACCCACUGUAGGUAAAUGAGAAGGACAGCUCUUGAACCUGGGCCAGUCUAUAUUCCUUCUGUGAAGUACUAACAGCCAGGCUAUGUAGCCUGGGUGGGAGCCCAGAUAAUGUGAGCUGGUAAAGGUUAUUGGAAAAGUGCCAAGAAAUACCAAGCUUUUGGUUUGUAACCACUAUAAAAAGUUUAUGAACAUGUCAGAGGAAUGGAUGAGUGAUUUGUGAGGUCUUAACUAGAUACCCCAGUUUCGUCCUUGUUUUGGCUCCUUUUCAGAAUGCCAGGAGAGUGCAUGCAGGGAUUCCAUCUGAUCACCCUCAGUGCUCUCUCUCUGGUCCUGCUGGAUAGAUUUAGAUUUUGUCACUAGCUCUUCUUUUUCCUCACUGUGUACCCCACCAAACAAGAUUAGUUCAAGUUAAAAAGAACCUAUUGGAGGUAAACUGGGAGAGCAAGUACUGGAUCUGGGAUGGUCCCUUUCCCAUUUAAUUAGGUCCCUGGUUAUAUGUUCCCAUAGCACCCCAUACUUCCUCUUUCAGAAUAAUCAUUUCCCUUGUAAUGCUCAGCAUCCGUAUCCUGUUUGAUUGCAAACUUGCUAAAGGUAGGUAUUGUUUGUCUUGGACUUCGCUGCCAGUCCUUAGAACAGUGCCUGGGACACAGUGUGUUCUCAAAUAUUUGUUGCUGGAAUAAAUGAAUGAACUAAAUCAGUCUUUUAGGGAUUUAUUGUUAACCACCAUG